UACGUAGGGUGCAAGCGUUAAUCGGAAUUACUGGGCGUAAAGCGUGCGCAGGCGGUUCUAUAAGACAGAUGUGAAAUCCCCGGGCUCAACCUGGGAACUGCAUUUGUGACUGUAGAGCUGGAGUGCGGCAGAGGGGGAUGGAAGUCCGCGUGUAGCAGUGAAAUGCGUAGAUAUGCGGAGGAACACCGAUGGCGAAGGCAAUCCCCUGGGCCUGCACUGACGCUCAUGCACGAAAGCGUGGGGAGCAAACAGG
rnacentral:rRNA from 1 species